rnacentral:rRNA from 1 species
AUGGAUGAUACCCUCAAGUCGCUGUCCAUGGACUACCUCAACCUGCUCAUCAACGGCCAGGCCUUCAGCGACGUGACCUUCAGCGUGGAGGGCCGCCUGGUGCACGCGCACCGCUGCAUCCUCGCCGCGCGCAGCCUCUUCUUCCGCAAGUUCUUCUGCGGCGCCGCCGCGGACCAGGCCGCCGCCGCAGCCGCCGCCGGCUCCCCGGGCGCGGUGCUCAUGGACCACCUCAGCCCGCGCUCCCCCUCCGGCGCAUCCGCCUCCUCCCCGCGCGGCGCCGGAGGCUCCGGGUCCGGCUCGGCCUCCGCAGCGGCGAUGGCGCCCGGCGCCGUGAUACCGGUCAACUCGGUGAGCUACGAGGUGUUCCUGCUGCUGCUCCAGUUCCUGUACAGCGGGCAGGUGUCGCUGGUGCCGCAGAAGGGGGAGCCGAGGCCCGGGUGCGGCGAGCGCGGCUGCUGGCACACCCACUGCGCCGCCGCCGUCGACCUGGCCCUCGACACGCUCGCCGUCGCCCGCUCCUUCGGCGUCGAGGAGCUCGCCGUCCUCACCCAGAAGCAGCUGGCGGGCAUGGUGGAGAAGGCGUCCAUCGAGGACGUGAUGAAGGUGCUCAUGGCGUCGCGCAAGCAGGACCUGCACCAGCUCUGGAACACCUGCUCCCACCUCGUCGCCAAGUCCGGCCUCCCGCCGGAGGUGCUCGCCAAGCACCUCCCCCUCGACGUCGUCGCCAAGAUCGACGACCUGCGCCUCAAGUCCUCCAUGUCCCGCCGCUCCCCCUUCCUCGCCCACCACCAGCAGCACCACCACCAGGGCUCCGUCAUCGAGGCCUCCGCGGCCGAGCUCGACGACCACAACAAGAUCCGCCGGAUGCGCCGCGCGCUCGACUCCUCCGACGUCGAGCUCGUCAAGCUCAUGGUCAUGGGGGAGGGGCUCAACCUCGACGAGGCACUCGCGCUGCACUACGCCGUCGAGAACUGUAGCCGGGAAGUGGUCAAGGCGUUGCUGGAGCUGGGCGCCGCUGACGUCAACCACCCGGCUGGGCCCGCCGGGAAGACGCCGCUGCACGUCGCGGCCGAGAUGGUCUGCCCGGACAUGGUGGCCGUGCUCCUCGACCACCACGCCGACCCCAACGUGCGCACCGUCGACGGGGUCACGCCGCUCGACAUCCUCCGUACGCUCACCUCCGACUUCCUCUUCAAGGGCGCCGUGCCGGGGCUCACCCACAUCGAGCCCAACAAGCUCCGCCUGUGCCUCGAGCUCGUGCAAUCGGCGGCCAUGGUCAUGUCCAGGGAGGACGCGGCCGGCAAUGCGCCGGUGCCCAUGUACAGCGACCACCACCCGGGCGCUGGCGGCGGUGGCGUGUACAGCGGCACCGGUGGCGCGAGCACGAGCAUGAACCUGAGCUUGGACAACAGGAUGGUGUACCUCAACCUAGGGAUGGACGUGAUGAACCACGGCGACGGCGGGGGCGACGACGGCGGGAGCAGAUCAGGGCAAGGAGGUCCCUCUUCGUUGUUCUCCCCUCAUGGCUUCCCAUGA